UGGGUAGUCGCCAAGCGGUAAGGCACAAGGUUUUGAUCCUUGCAUCCGAAGGUUCGAGUCCUUCCUACCCAG
rnacentral:tRNA from 1 species